rnacentral:rRNA from 1 species
UACAGAGGGUGCGAGCGUUGUCCGGAAUUACUGGGCGUAAAGAGCUCGUAGGUGGUUUGUCGCGUUGUUCGUGAAAACUCACAACUCAAUUGUGGGCGUGCGGGCGAUACGGGCAGACUGGAGUACUGCAGGGGAGACUGGAAUUCCUGGUGUAGCGGUGGAAUGCGCAGAUAUCAGGAGGAACACCGGGGGCGAAGGGGGGUCUUGGGCAGUAACUGACGCUGAGGAGCGAAAGCGUGGGGAGCGAACAGG